CUACGAAGGUCCCAAGCGUUAUUCGGAAUCACUGGGCGUAAAGAGUACGUAGGCGGUUUGGUAAGUCAGGUGUGAAAUCCCGGAGCUCAACUCCGGAACUGCAUCCGAUACUGCCAGACUUGAGUAAUGGAGAGGCAGGUGGAAUUCUCGGUGUAGCAGUGAAAUGCGUGGAUAUCGAGAGGAAGACCAAUGGCGAAGGCAGCCUGCUGGACAUUUACUGACGCUGAGGUACGAAGGCUAGGGGAGCGAAAGGGAUUAGAAACCCCAGUAGUCC
rnacentral:rRNA from 1 species